rnacentral:rRNA from 1 species
GCUCGUCUCAAAGAUUAAGCCAUGCAAGUGCAAGCACGAGUCGCGCAAGCGACGAGGCUGCGAAAGGCUCAUUAAAUCAGUCGUGGUUUACGUGGUCGUGCGACGGGGCGCGAGCGUCGUCGAAGCGGACAACUUUGGAAAAUCUAGAGCUAAUACGUGCAAAAAGGCGCCGCCGCUUGCCGGGAGGCGCGCAUUUAUCAGCCAUCGCGUCGGCCGGGUCGUGCAGCGUUCUUCGGGGCGCGGCGGCCCGUCGUCCGUGGCGACUCUGGAUAACUGUCAGCGGAUCGCCGAUCCUUUGCCGAUCGGCGACGAACCAUUCGAGCGUCUGACCUAUCAACUGUAGUCGGUACGGUCUCGGCCUACCGAGGUGCUUACGGGUGACGGGGAAUCGGGGUCCGAUUCCGGAGAGGGAGCCCGAGAAACGGCUGCCACUUCCAAGGAAGGCAGCAGGCGCGCAAAUUACCCACUUCAGACUCUGAGAGGUAGUGACGAAAAAUAGCGGCGCCGGGCCUUAACGGGCGUCGGCGAUCGCAAUGAGCUCGGCGAAAAACACCGGUGCGCGUGCGCGGCCUUCGCGGGUCGCGUGCGUCGCGAGUAUCGAACGGAGGGCAAGUCUGGUGCCAGCAGCCGCGGUAAUUCCAGCUCCGUGAGUGUAUGCUUAAGCUGUUGCGGUUAAAAAGCUCGUAGUCGAAAGCAGGCUUUUUGAUCGCGGGCGCGCGCGUGUCCGGGACGCUUCCCGGCGCCGCCGCCGGCCAAGAGGCCAACGAUCGCGGUCGACGGGCGCGCCGCCCAAGGGUCGGUCGCUCGCCUCCGAGGCGAGGGCCGGCUCGGCGCGUCGACGGUCGGCUCGCGCUUUGCCCUGACCAAAUCGAAGUGCAUCAGGGCGGGUCGAAGACGAGACGGGCGCGCGAGCGCUCGCAAGACCCAGAACGAUGUCGCACGGAACGAAGGAAGAAGGCCGCGGCUUCGCCGCCGGCGCCGAGAAAGAUUGCGCGUGGCAAUGAUCGAGAGGGACGGACGGGGGCAUUCGUAUUGCGCCGGGAGAGGUGAAAUUCGUGGAUCGGCGCAAGACGAACCGAAGCGAAGGCGUCUGCCAAGGACGUUUUCUUUGAUCAAGAGCGAAAGUCGGAGGCUCGAAGACGAUCAGAUACCGUCGUAGUUCCGACCGUAAACGAUGCCGACCGCGUCGUCGCCUUCGGACGUUAGAAGGCGCGUGCGUCGCCCCUCGGGGCUCGUGCGCGUCGACCAGGUCGAGGUGGCGGCGCCCUGCGGGAAACCGGAGUGUCCGGGUUCCGGGGGAAGUAUGGUCGCAAAGCUGAAACUUGAAGGAAUUGACGGAAGGGCACCACCAGGAGUGGAGCCUGCGGCUUAAUUCGACUCAACGCGGGGAAACUCACCCGGCCCGGACGGCAAAAGGAUUGACAGAUCGAAAGCUCCUUCUCGAUUUGGCGGAUGGUGGUGCAUGGCCGUUCUUAGUCCGUGGAGCGAUUCGUCUGGUCGAUUCCGAUAACGAACGAGACUCGAAUUUGCUCGUUGCUCGGCGCGCCCGAGCCGCGCUUCGGCGGGUCGCCCCUCGGGGUGGCCGCGGUCGGACGCGGCGCCAAAGCGGCGCGGCCAAGCGAGAACGAGAAUCGCGCAGUGAGCUAAUCCCAGAAGGACGGGCGGCGUGAAAGCCGCACGAGAUCGAGCGAUAACAGGUCUGUGAUGCCCUUCGAUGUCCGGGGCCGCACGCGCGCUACAAUGGUCGGGACAGCGAGCAGCGACGCUGCCCGUCCGGUGCGUCGUCCACGAGGCGAAGCCGGCGAUGCCGUCACCCGGGCCGAGAGGCCCGGGCGAUCCGAGAAACCCCGAUCGCGAUCGGGACAGAGACUUGCAAUUGUUUCUCUCGAACGAGGAAUUCCCAGUAGGCGCGGGUCAUCAUCCCGCGUCGACUGCGUCCCUGCCCUUUGUACACACCGCCCGUCGCUACUACCGAUCGAGCGUCCUAGCGAGGUCGUCCGAUCGGCCGGCGCUUCCACGGUCGCGUUUCGCGCGCGUCCGGCGAGCGUUCGGCCGAGAAGGCGAUCGAACUCGAGCGCUUAGAGGAAGUAAAAGUCGUAACAAGGUUU